rnacentral:rRNA from 1 species
AGUUGUGAAAGCAACCUGACGGUACCAGAGGAAUCAGCAUCGGCUAACUCCGUGCCAGCAGCCGCGGUAAGACGGAGGAUGCAAGCGUUAUCCGGAAUGGUUGGGCGUAAAGCGUCCGCAGGUGGCAGUUCAAGUCUGCUGUCAAAGACCGGGGCUUAACUUCGGAAAGGCAGUGGAAACUGAACAGCUAGAGUAUGGUAGGGGCAGAGGGAAUUCCUGGUGUAGCGGUGAAAUGCGUAGAGAUCAGGAAGAACAUCGGUGGCGAAGGCGCUCUGCUGGACCAUAACUGACACUCAGGGACGAAAGCUAGGGGAGCGAAUGGGAUUAGAUACCCCAGUAGUCCUAGCCGUAAACGAUGGAUACUAGGUGUUGUCUGUAUCGACCCGGACAGUGCCGUAGCUAACGCGCUAAGUAUCCCGCCUGGGGAGUACGCACGCAAGUGUGAAACUCAAAGGAAUUGACGGGGGCCCGCACAAGCGGUGGUCGACGCGAAGAACCUUACCAGGACUUGACAU